rnacentral:rRNA from 1 species
GAUGAACGCUGGCGGCGUGCCUAAUACAUGCAAGUCGAGCGAACGGACGAGAAGCUUGCUUCUCUGAUGUUAGCGGCGGACGGGUGAGUAACACGUGGAUAACCUACCUAUAAGACUGGGAUAACUUCGGGAAACCGUAGCUAAUACCGGAUAAUAUUUUGAACCGCAUGGUUCAAAAGUGAAAGACGGUCUUGCUGUCACUUAUAGAUGGAUCCGCGCUGCAUUAGCUAGUUGGUAAGGUAACGGCUUACCAAGGCAACGAUGCAUAGCCGACCUGAGAGGGUGAUCGGCCCCACUGGAACUGAGACACGGUCCAGACUCCUACGGGAGGCAGCAGUAGGGAAUCUUCCGCAAUGGGCGAAAGCCGGACGGAGCAACGCCGCGUGAGUGAUGAAGGUCUUCGGAUCGUAAAACUCUGUUAUUAGGGAAGAACAUAUGUGUAAGUAACUGUGCACAUCUUGACGGUACCUAAUCAGAAAGCCACGGCUAACUACGUG